GCCGCCUGAGGGGAGCCCGCGCCUCCGCCGCAUGAGAGGAGGUCGAGCUGCCGCCGGGGCGAUGCUGGAGGAGCUGGAGUGCGGGGCGCCCGGCGCCAGGGGAGCCACCACAGCCAUGGAUUGCAAAGAUAGACCAGCUUUUCCAGUUAAGAAGUUAAUACAAGAGAUGGCUUUGUCUUUGUUUCAGCCCGUCUGCCGUUUAAGCGCCUGAAUCUUGUCCCAAAGGGGAAAGCCGAUGACAUGUCAGACGAUCAGGGUACUUCUGUGCAAAGUAAAAGCCCUGAUUUAGAGGCCUCUUUGGACACCUUGGAAAACAACUGUCAUGGGGGUUCUGACAUAGACUUUAGACGGAAACUUGUCAACGGGAAGGGUCCCUUAGAUAACUUUUUAAGAAAUAGAAUCGAAACCAGUAUUGGCCAGAGCACAGUCAUCAUUGAUUUGACAGAGGACUCGAAUGAGCAGCCAGACAGUCUUGUGGACCACAAUAAACUA
rnacentral:sRNA from 1 species